UUGCAGAAGGCAUCGGAAUAAAUGUACAAAAUCCAUCAGAGCCAAAUCAUUUUUUGCACGUUCCCAUUCAAGUCAAUUCUGCUGGAUGAAGUUCCUGUUCAGGUUUGCUCAGGGACUGCGUUUGCGACAAGUCGACAUGAUUGAUGAAAAUAUUGUUGGUAGUUCCACAACUCUCUCAAAAAUGGCAAAAAAAUGCAGACACAUUUGCAUUAAGGUUGUGCACUGUCUGCAAAGAAAGGGAAGCAUGAAAGUUGGAGGACGCAGGGAAUUUGUGGUAACUGAUGAGUGCAAGUUCUGCCAUCACAGAAAAUACCACAAAGGAAGAAUGAGACAAACCUGGAAAAGAAAGAGCUGAGUCUUUGGAAUGCUUGGAUGUAACCAAUCUUCACGGAAACCAGUACUAAAACUUGUGCAAAGCAGAUUGGUUGGUUCAACUAUCAUAAGUGAUGAGUGGAGAGCAUAUUUUCAGAGACUUACUGAACAUGGAUAUACACAUCACACAGUAAAUCACAGCAGAAACUUUGUUGAUGGCUAUACAGGUGCUCACACACAACACAUUGAAAGGGCAUGGGGUCAGUUUAAAUCAAACAUAUGGAGGCUGAGAGGAAACAUGACAGAGAAGUUACUCAAAGAGCACCUUCGGGUAAUUGAAUGGACCUACUGGCUAACAAAGAAACACAAAAAAAAGAGCCUUUAGGUCGUCUUAUUGAUGACAUAAGGAAACUAUCAUGUAUAAUUGUUUUUUGUUAUUUUGAAUAUUAUUUUUGAGAAUUAGUAUUAAUUACGUAACCAAUUAAUUAAUCACCAAUCACUGAGGCUGUGUGGUCCAGUGGUUAAAGAAAUGGGCUUGUAACCAGGAGGUCCCCAGUUCACAUCCCACCUCAGCCACUGACUCAUUGUGUGACCCUGAGCAAGUCACUUAACCUCCUUGUGCUCCGGGUGAGACGUAGUUGUAAGUGACUCUGCAGCUGAUGCAUAGUUAACAGACCCUCAUCUCUGUAAGUCGCCUUGGAUAAAGGCGUCUGCUAAAUAAAAACUUUUUUUUUUAAAGGUAUUUCUGAAAUGUUGUUUUUAUAUGGUUUUAAAAGUGAAAUAGAGUGAAUGAGUAAUUGAUAAGAUGUUUUCAUUGCUGGGUUUCAAGGUUUGACAAAGUUGGUUUUGCUAUGAUGUUCUAAUUGUGAGAAAUAAAGUAAUUUCUAAACUAAA